rnacentral:lncRNA from 10 species
CUUCCUUACCUCCGUUGUGGAGUAGUAGACUGAUUUCAUCUUCACAGUCCUGGUCAAUCACCCCAGAUAACACUGUAACUCCUUUCUUAGCCUGUUGCCUUAAAGGUAAGAGGAGCCCAAAGUUUCCAGGUGGCAAUCUUAACUUCCAGCUUAACAGAAUCAUUGUUGUGUCUCCUGGUGGCAGCAUUCUCCUUCUGGAACUAAGAACUCUAGGCCAGCAGAAUGUAAUGUCAUGGAAACAGGAAGCAAAAAUUUUGCUAGUAGAUCACUGGGGAUGAUGGUGAGUGGUGUCACUUCCACUUCCAUCCCUUUAAUCCUGGAGCCGUGAGUCCUGGCUAUGGGAGAAACAGUGCCAUAUAUGGGAUGCUGAUUCAGAGCAUACACAGUCUUCUGGAGAACUUUACCCCAGGUCUGCAAAGUAUUGUUACCUAGUUGGCAUUGUAAUUGUGACUUCAAAAGGCCGUUCCAUCAUUUUAUCAAUUCAGCUGCUUCAGGAUGACAGAUAACAUGCAGACUACCUGGUCAUGUGGCCACGUUCUCAUGGUGAUGUCAGAGGGAAGAGUGCCAGCAGAAGUACUCUGCUUAGAUCACAUCUUCUAUCAUCCCCUUGUCCAAAGAAAGGACUCCAGCUUAUGAAAGAAAACGCAAAGAAAGAAGAGACCAUUCCACUGAUUUUGGGAACAAGACAAUAUAAUGAUCACAUCUAUGCUUUACAAAGAAAACUCUGCAUCUAUAUGAAGAAUAAAUGAUGGAGCUAGGCUGGAGAAGUACACUACUUGAAGUCAACAAGAAAGCAGCUGGUGAAAGAUGAUGAGACACUUAUUAGAGGAAGAAGCAGUGAGGAUGGAAGGGAGAGAAAUAUACACUAGAGGCACUGGAAAGUGCAUCACCCACCUUAUUGAGUCAUCAGAUAUGAUAUUCUGAAUUUC